rnacentral:lncRNA from 1 species
AUGCAUUUGAUGCUCGUCUUUCAUCUCACCUGUGGCAGCAAGUUCUCCAUUCUUCUCGAGGAUUUUGUCUUUCUGGGUAUUUUCCUUCAUGACCUCUCGUUCCACUGAUGGCACCUCAUGUAGAAGGUUUCCUUCCUUUUGCUCUUCAGUAGCUCUGUUUCUCGAUGGCAAAGAAUGAUUUUUCGCGAGCUUGCUUUCCCCAAAGUGGGUACGCGGUGCCAGCGAACUCCCGUCUGGAGGAACAUUCACGAGUUCGAAAUCUUCUUCCUCUUCCCUGGCUGCGUUUUCCACGUCGACUUUCUUGUGUAAGGGAACCGCGAGUGAUGGCUGUGUUUCCUCAGGCUCUUCAACAUCAGUCCGCUCUUCCCCGGAGAUUUUCUUGCUUAUCCACGAGUGCGCACUGCUUGUUUCUCCAGUAAUAUCUCCUCCGUAUGUGUCACGCCCCUCUAGGCACGCUUCUCCUCUGGCGCCUUGUUCCGUGGCAACAUCAGUGAUGGGCGUGUCACAUGGAGUCGUAUUUCCGCCUUGUCGUUCUCUGACGUUUGCUUGCGCGGCGAACAAACUUGCAGGGAGCGUAACAUUUGCCUCACUGGCAGUUGUUACGAGUUCGAAUGGAAACACGAGACCGCCUGCGCUAUCAUUACCUGUCUUUCUUUGGAGCUGAGCUUCGAACUUUUUCGUGUGCGGCAACGAACGAUCGCUAGGGGCAGAUGGCACUUCGGUAUGCUGGGAGGACGGUUCUUCCGCUGGUGAAGUGGUCUUGUUCCAUCGAGCGGUAUCUUCUUUCACAGACACUUCAGGGAUCACAGUCGGGGGAACGUGCUCUGGCUCAUCUCUCGUUGGCACCGCAGCUGCUGUUGCAGAAUUCGAUUUUUGUUGUGAUUCAGCGAGAUUCCACUCAGUGACAUGCCCUUCCCAAGGAGCUUCUCGGUCAUUUUCAACCUCGUUAUUGACUGGAAAGGUGCGGACUAAGUCUGGUGCCCGACGUGCUCCAUUGUGAUGUGUUUGCAAGUCCUGUUCUGGCGCGUUCACACCAGACCCAGGUACUCCAGCAGGACUCUGGAGCAUCUCGUUAGCCGCAAAAGGCCUUUCAGCAUCAAAAUUCUGUUCCUUCAAUUCUUCUCUCCGGGCUGCGCUAUCUGGGGUAACUGUAAGGGCUACUCGUUUUUGACCUUCCUCCGUGGCAGUCCCCACCGUAGUCGGAGUGUCUCGUGAUUGACUGACAAAAGAGUGUUUGUCAUUAAUUUCAUGAUGCAUGGCAUGCUUACUCAGCGCGGGCGACGGCUGUGCCCGUAUUAACACCGUCUUUUCUCCGGCACGUCCGUGGUGCUCCAGUUCUUCAUCCGGAGUAGAUGAGCGUUUAUUCGUCGACUUCUCACUCGUCGUUUUGUGAUCCGCCGACCGAGCUUGUUCUACCGUUGGGAUGCUUUUCGACAGAGUGUCACUGUCUGUGCCUUUGCCUUCCUUUUUUGUCUCGUCAUGUGGAAGCUCCACGAGGCGAGAUAGUACCUCUUGUUCGCCUCGGCCCACCUCUCUACCUCCAGUUUCCUCAUUCUUUUUGGUAAAAGAACCGGCGCCGAUCCCCCCUCCCACGCCGCUGUCUUUGCUUGUCGAAGCCUCCUGUGAGCUUUUGCUUUCACGACUUUCGUCUUUUUCUCCUCGAUCCUUGGCAUAGUCAUGCAGGCCUAGCGUGUCACGAGGCAACGACAGGCGCUUUCGUGAUUGUCCACUUCUCUGGAUCACCGGCUGCAUCGCCGCAGCAUUCUCUUCUGACUGUGUGGAACCAACAGAUGGGGAGAACCACCCGGAAUUCUCGUGCGCUUCUGGAAGGGGAGGAGAAGAGGAAGCCCUAACAACAAAAGCCGUGGAUGCUGCUCGGACUUGCGGUUCAAUACCUGCCACCGGGAAGCAAACCAUGAAAAAGGCUGCGGCGGCAAUAACUGCCGGUCCUACUGUCACCGGCCUUCUCAUUCUGUGGUAGUUCUCCAUUUUGCGAUAGUAAAGGGAGCGCGAAGUGACGGAGUUUUUAUUUGCACAACGUCUUUGGGCGUUUCCCGUCCCGUGAGGGGAGAUGAGGUAAAGUUGUCGACCUCUAGCAGUCGGCGCGCAGCAAAACCACCUGGCGGAUCGAGGUGAGGACUCUCUUUCGAUUUCGCCCUGAUAUAACAAGGUCUGUCCUGGCUUUUGCCCUCCGGUUGGCGAGUGGGACCGUCUACACUAGUCAUGGCUGCAACAGAAAAGACCGCGUCCUGCGGAUACCAUAGACCCUGUGGCAACAAUUGUAGAGACUCGCU